CAGGCGUCACGUGCUCUGGCCCGAGCUCCGCCCCAGAGGGAUCUGGAAGGGGAGGCGGGUCUUCCCAGCUGCUGUUCGGUGCCUAGAACUGCGUACGUCCUUGUUCUGAAUGCAGACCUCACGCGGGAGCCUCCGUUCACCUUUCCUUCCUUCCCCUCCACCCGCCCAGCUUGCCUUAGGCUUCCUUCUGGUGCAGUCUCUCAGCCACGAAGAUACAUCUGUUGUAGGCAUCCGUGGCUGAGUCCUCAUGUCCAUCCCGUUCUAGUCCGUCCUACACGCUGCAGCAGAGGGAUAUUUCCAAAACGAAAACUUCAUCGUGGUCUUCACCUGCUCACAUCUCUUCUAUGGCUCCCCAUUACUCUGAUGAAAAAAGGCAAACUCUUUAGUCUGGUAUACAGGGCUUGCCAUUCUGCGGGCACCGUGUCUUUACACCUCAUGUCCCUAUAAACGCCCCCCACCAAGCUGUUUAGACAUACCCUCAGUGCCUUUUUACUUUCCCUUUCCUCUCUUCUCCACUUGGUAAACAUUUUUGUUUUAGGAAUCAGUUCAAAAGCUACCAACUUUGUCUUCUAAGUUCUCACGUUGGAGCGUCCAUGGCUGUGUGUACAUCUCAUGCUUGUUUAUCACACUCUGUUGUAAUGGUGGCUUACAUCUCCUGGCCUUGCGCUCACUUGUGGGCUCUUUGAGGACAGGACUUUGCAGGUAAGAGGCAUCAGUGAACGGAAGCCGAAAAAAUGAAUGAACAAACCAACUAUAAUGAAGUCUUUUCCUGAAAAGUCUUUUUCCCUUUCCAAGACUGAAUUAUUUCAUUCCUCAUGCCUGGUUUGGAGCCCACUUCUCUCAAACUUUCAUCAUUUAGGUUAUUCAUUUGCUGCUCCGGCACUCCAUGUCUUCUUGUUCAUCUUUGUACAUUUCCACCACUGUGACCACCCUCAGGGCCUAGGGUAAUGCCUUGCUCUCAGCACAAGCUUUAAAGAUGUUGUGUAAGUGAAUGUUUUCCCUUAGUAGGAAAUGAGAAAGGAAAAUAAAUCAGAGUAGAGCCUGAAGCGACUAUGGCAAGAGUAGGGAAAGAAAGAGAGCUCAAAGACUUUUAAGAAGCACCUUAUGAACAAAAGUAGCUUCCAUUUCAUUUCUAUAGCCUUUGCUCAAUGACCCCAACUUCUGCUGCCUCGGUUUCUCAGUCCUCCAGCACUUCCAUGUAGAACACCUGUUUGGGGCGUUAAUCAGUGAUUUUAUUCUCUUUCAUGGUAUCGUGAGCAUGACUCUUGUCCCUGCAGCCCUUGAGGGCAGGGAUGGGGUCUUGCUCUGCUGUUUAUUCCCCACACUGGACAUACCUUGAGACUUAGCUGGUUCACAGAGAUGUCAUUUCCUCCAGAAUGGUCUCCCUGACUGCCCCUCUCUCUAGCGUCUUGUAGAUUCCUCUCUUUUAAUUACUGCUGGUUGUCAGAAGGUUAGUUUCUUGAGGGCAGAGGUUGCAUCUGAUUUAUCUUUGUGUCCCCAGUGGCCAGCAGAGGGUCUGGCACAGAGUGGACUCAGGUCACGUUUAUGGAAUGAACAAAUGAGUGUUCAGUGCCCGGUAGAUGGCUGAGAAUCUCUUGCGGCUACCAGUUCUCAGGGGCUACGAAGGCAGCCAUGACUUGGAGGAAAGAGGACUAUCUUUGGAACCAAACAGCAUAAUUUGAAUCCUGGGUCUUCUACUUCUUAGUUGUGCAGCCCUCGGCAUCACCCCUACAAGCCCCUGGCUCCUCAUAGAUAAAAUGGGAAUGAUAUUCCCUCCCUCGCUAGGUUGGUAAAUUACAUGAGAUGCACAUGAAGUGGUAGGCUCAAAGGAGGUUUUCAAAAUGUCAGUUCCUUAUUAACAUGGUAAGUGCAGAGAGCUACUUCACAAGUGUCUUUUGCUUAGAAGCAGCUGUGUGCAUGAGUGAAUCCAGGAACCUCUGUUGGCUUGUGGAGGGAGGAGGCACGCCUGAGUCAGCCUGAUCUUUUAAGGCUAAAUCAAGUAUGGGCAGUAGGUUUGGGCUGGCCUGAAGCUCAGAGGCUCGCUGUAGACGUCAGGCUCCUGGUUUGAGACUAGGAGCCUGGGAGAAGGAGGGGAAGCAGUUCUCUUGGGUCAGUUGCCUACUCAGAAACCCAGGCUAUCCAGCUCAGGGCUGCCCUCCUUGGAAACACGCUGGCCUCAGAAACUGUCCCAGGUAACCAUGACAACAAUUCAGCAGCUCCAUUUAGGAUCUCCAAAGGGAUCUACAGUUGCAGAUGAGUGCUGGCUUGAACACUGCUAGCAGAAGAGAGCCCCUCCCAGGAAGCGUGCUCCCUGGGAAGCUUUAGGGUUGCAGAGAAAGCAAGCUCUGCCCAAACAUUAAGGUGCUACCAGAUUAAACAAACAAACAAACUUCCUCCCUGUCUGGGGAGGGCUGACACCCUUCAGAGAAGAUGUGGGCUAGAGAAUGCUUGUACCCUGCUGGCUACUGCCCAGCCCCCUCUGGGGUUUGAGGUCAACCACACCCCAAACCCGGAGCCUCCCAGGAAGCAGAGCCCUAAUAUCUCCUUCACCAGCCUCUUUGAAAGCUUGGCAGGCAAUAUAAAUCUCACCCCAUAAUCACGCAGAGUCAACUCUGCCCCACUCUAGCUCUGAUGUCCUCCACCACUGCCCUUGAAGCAGACCUUGUCAGCCUUCUCUAAAUGGCACACACUCAAGCUCCCCGGGGGCCUGUCUGAUGAGUUUAGCAAUCAGGGCCACCACCCAAGGCCGCCAAGGUUGUGCACUGUGCAACUCCAUAAAGCACCACAAACUAUUAUGUGAAUGCCACCCCCUGGAGUUGUAUAAUGCAGUGACCCUGCUUCUGUUCAUUUCCAUAAGACACAGAGGCACAUUGUGGAAAUAUGACACCCAUACAAAAAAGCCACCAGAUUCUACUGUAAAUUACAUGAGGAUACAAUCAUCGCAUGCAGAAAUAUUUAAAGCAGUUGAUCCUUUGAGAGUUGGUGGCCCAGAAGCUUUCUGUAAUGGAGCUGAAGGACACAGUGUCCUUGGUGUUGUUUUGGGUGGUGAGCUGUAGUGAGAAGACAAGUCUGGGCAGGUGUAUGGUCCAGUCCCCUACGAGAUUAAUACCCAGCGAUUACUUUGCCUAGCAGCGUUAAUCAGCAUUCUAAUGUAGUGGCGGAAGACUGUUUUACUGAACCGAAAAAUAUCUAAUAAUAUUCAAAGGCAGGCGCUGUGGAUGUAGGGGAAGAGAGAAAAGUGGAAUUACUUUUGGAAUAUCCUCUUUUCCAAGAGUCCCUGGCAGCUCACUACCAGAAGAUGAGCUGGACAGAAACAAAACCAAGUCCCCAAAGCAGGUUUUAUUAAACCCCACCUCUGACCUCCUCCCUGUUUCAAUAUUGGAAAGUGUGUGUGUUUACUUAGAAAGCACCAUUGUUUUUUUUACAGCUAAUUGCUGGGUUACAGUUUCUCCUUUGGUUUGUUGUUUUAUAACCUGUGCAAGCCCUCUGCGUUUGAAACACUGUUUCCCUCCUGCUUUCUCAUUUAAGGUCUUAUCAUUAACAGAGUUCAUAGUCAACAAGCCAUUUUGGUGGGGAGAGGCGGAGCCAGUUCCUCCGAUGCAUUGUUACUGAAUAAAUGGUUUGGAAAGGUCCAGGACACAGACAUGCUUCACUUGAAAUUGCUGUAUCCUGGCAAGGAUUUAGGUGAGCUGGAACAGGGGGUUGACCUUCCAAACUCUGACGUGCAUCACAUGGGAUGACUUGGAUUCUUUUGUGGCUCCAGCCACCUAUGUGGACAGGCAGCUGACCUAGAUUACCCCUUGCUGUUUAGCUUGGACACACUUCACUUCUCAGUCUGAAAAACGUGCCCAUGCUGCGGGACAGCUGCCAUCUCACGCCCUGUGGCUAGGCUGGAGGAUUUUCACCAGCAGUGCUGGAGAAAGACUAGCUUUUCAGAGCUUGCAGGGAAGCUGCAGGGUCCAGAGGUCAGAGAGCCGGGAGUCCAAGAGCAAAAUUCUAACCCCAACAUCGCCAUAAACUCACAGGCGCUGGUCCAGUUUGCCUGAUGAUUUCCUUUCAGCUAGAAUUUUUACCACCGAGAGUUUCACUUCGGAACCCUUAAUUAGUAGAGGUUCAAAGUCAUCUAUAAACAAAACAAAAAGAUGGUUCUUUCCUUUUAUGUCCAAAUUUCUUGCUCCCCUAGUCUUAGAAUGUAUAUAUGUUUCUAAAGAACGAUUGUAAGAGUUGAUUUCUAAGCAUCCAACCUCAGACUUUAGUGUGCAUCGGUCCCCAUGGGACUGCGUCAAAUGCAGAUUCCAAGGCCCGUCCCCCAAGAUAUUCUGAUAAAGUUUUCUCACAAAGUUAUAAGGCACAAGCGGUUUUUCUCGUAAUAAUGUCAGAGCACAGAAAAACCGAAAUAAGAAUGGCUAAAACAAAAAAGUUCCUUUCUCACAUAAAAGAAGUUUGGGAGCGUAAGCAUAGGGCUGGUGGAGCCGUUCCAGGAAGUGAUCAGAAACCAGUUUCCUUCUCUCUUAUUGCUUUUCACUCCUCAAAAUGUAACUUUUGCCUUUUGAUCCAAGGUAGCUGAUCAAGUUCCAGCCAUCAUGUCUGUAUUCCAGACCAAAGGAAGGAGGAAAAGAUGCAGGACAGAACCCUUCUCUUUGAGGAAACUUUUCAGAAGGCACACAUAUCGCUUCUGUUCUGCUCCCAUUGGCUCGAACUUGGCCUUAUGGCCACACCUAGUGGCAAAAGAGGUUUGAAGUUAUGGUCUUUGCGUCACACUCAUGUAGUGAAUUAAAAAUCACAUUCUGUUACCAAAGAAGCAAAGGAAGGUGGAUAUUGGGAGCUGGGGCACUUAGACCCAGAGAGGUAUAGUGACUCAGCUGAGGUCUUAUAGCCAACCCAGUGCCCUCAUUUUUGCAAUUGAGGAAACUGAGGCCCAGGGAAGGGCUUUGUCUAUAAUGAGUUAUUUUGCCCAGGUAUUUCCACUCAGAACUCUUUCCUCUAUCAAGUGGUCCUCAAAUUAUAGUACACAUCAGAAUCACCUGCAGAACUAGUUAAAACAAACGAGAAUUUCUGAUUGAAUAGGUGUGGGGUAGAGCCAAGAAUGUGCAUUUCUAGCAAGUUUUCAGGUGGUGCUGAUGCUGCUGGUCUGAUGAAUACACUUUGAGAAGCAGUGUCCACAGUACCUCCCAUCUGCGUUUAACAAGGACCUUCAGUUCACUGUGGCCAAGUGAACGCAUCACCUCCUUCCCAGCCUUAGUUCUCCUCCCAUUUUCUCUAGCUCACUCAGUGGUACCAUGAUUCAUUUUCUUGCUUGCCUAAGCCAAACUUAGGAGUCAUCCUAAACUCCUCCUUCUCCAUCCUCUUAUAAUUGGUCCAUAGGUUUUCUUCAUUUUCUCUCUUCAGCAUCUCCUCUUUCUCUCCAUCUUCUGCUUUGGUUCAAGCCUGAUCAUUUCUCACCUGGACUUUUUGCAAAAGCCCUCUUCAGAUUUACCACCUGGCCUUGCUCACUGAAUCUCUGUAAACGGAGAGUCCGCAUUACUCCAUUGCUUCAACACUUUCAGUGGCUCCCUGAUGUAGUCAACUGUAUUUUUCAAACUUCAGUGAUUUCAUUCCAGCAUCACAAUUUUUGCCAUAUUGGUGUAGCUCCUACACUAUUACUUAAUAUUUUUCUAUAAGCUGACUUACCUUUUUAAAAAACUUAAAUAAAUAUAUAUUCAAGGCACAUUGAUUUGCUACCCAAAAUGAAAAACUAGUAUCACUUCUGAUAACCAAAAGGUAAUUAUCACAUUUAAAACAAUGAAAACAAAAUAAUGGUAUUGAAUUCUUCUGGAUCCUGUAUGCAUCUUUCUCUUUGUUAAAAAGGAAGAUUAAUAAGGUUAGAGAGGUGCCAAAGACUUACUUUCCCAAUCUUGAAAAGUUUCUUUACAUAAUUAGAAAGACUAAAAGAGAAUGGAAAAGGAACUAAAUAUCUUCUUGUGUGAUUCAAGAUUACAUGCUGUCUUGUCUCUGUGCCACCCGCAGUCGCCUAAUGUACCCCACUGGGAAAGGACCCAUUGUCUGAAAAGCACGGCCAGACUCCUUAACAUGGCAUCCCGUGCAUUUGACGACCUGACACUUGCGUGACAUUUUAGCAUCAGCUCGUCCAGCUCUGAGAGCAUUGUUCCAAGCAUCCCGGAAACCUUGAGGUUCCACAAGCUUAUGAAGUCAUAAAUACCAUUUGCUGCAAGUAACAGAAUGCUUGAGUAAGAGGCCCUUAAACAAUAAGAUAUUUUUCUCACACAUCGAGAAGUCUACAGUGGAAGAUGUGGCCGUCUGGAUUCUCACGUAUGGCAAGUUCAGGCUGGAGUUGAGUGGCCACUGCUGUUUGUAAGAUGGGGCAUCUGCUCUCCAGUUCACCGUAGUCCCUACACGCCCAAAUGACAGUGCUGCCCUAAGACACAGGCAAGUGGGACCCUGCCUUUGGCCCUGGGUUUAGAGGCCCUGCUCUGGCCCCUCUCCAAAUGUGAAUGUGCCCUUCCACCUGCAGCCAGGAGCCCAUAGAGCUGAGGAAUGCCUGCACUACCUCCUGCAGAGCGUGCUGCUGGUGCCCAGGGACCCUGAAAUUCCCUGCCACGUGACCCAAGCCUGCUUCCGGAGCCUGCAGAGGCGUCUUUACAUGUCACUUCUCCCAAGGGCGAAUAGCACUGCUAGGAUGCACACUCCGUGCCCGAGGGGUGGCCAAGAGAAAGCUGGGGUGUUUCCCAAGGAAAGGGAAGGGAACGAAGCUUGAAUGUGCAGCCUGGGUGUCCAUCCACCUGCACAAAGCCCCUUGCUGUGUGAGAUGAGUCAGACAUGGGAAGAGAAGCAGAGCAGAUGGUGUGUUGGGGGCGGGGGGCACCUUGGGCUGAGGACCAGUUCUCCCCAUGUCAUCAUCUUCAGGGGAGGAAAUCUGAGAAUUAUACAUUUGAAUUCAGCCUUCCAGGUCAUUAUACAGGUAUAUUUGUCAAGGUAGGAGGCUAGAAGUUACUUCAACUCGUUAACUUGAUUUGAAACAUAAAUAUUUAGACAUAUGGUAAAUGGACUUCCAUUUAUACUCUUUCCCUGGGCCUCCAAAUGUUAGCAGAUAUUAGGAGUGGGCCCACUGAUAGUUUCACUCCUUUCUCCUUGUUGCCUGGCCCCCAUUAGUACUUGAGUUUGUGGCUCCUGCCAGGCUGUGCUCUUCGUGAGGAUGGGAAGUGCACCUGGUGUUCACCCCUAUAUCCUCUGCCCCUAGUCCAAUCCUCGGCACCUCCCACGGUACCCAGCUACUACUGAAUGAGUGCCUGUAAUCUCAGAGUUGAUAGUGGUCCUCUUGGAAUUAUUUUCUCUUGUCAUAUAUGUACAUGCAUUACAGAUUAUUUAAAAGUUUCUCCUUAGAAGUUUCGUUAAUUGCCAGAGGUUUUUUUGGUUAUUUCUACUUUUGUGAUUUAAAAUGAAUUUAAACACAUGGUAAAAUAAUCUGAAAGGUAUAAAAAAGUAAAAAGAAGAAGAAAGAAGCAUCUCACGUCACCCUAACUCCACUGGUGCAACCGUUAUUACCAUUUUGAUGUAUUUAUUUCCAGUCUUUUUUCAUACGUUUCUUUUCAUAGUUGAGGUCCUACCCAGAGAUUUAUGACGAUAAGCUGCCAUACUCCAACUACUGGAGCAGCUUUCUUGCUGCUGUUUGUCAUUCCUUGUGAUGCAUUUUAGAAGAUAAAUUGCAUGAGAAACUUCUAGAUUUCAUGGAGAAAUAUUGAAGUGAGGAGUGUUAUAAACACUUUCCAGAGAGGUGAAUGAUGUGGUUCUAAAUUUGUGUGUGUGAGAGAGUUUGUGGUUUACCCUACUUCCCAAUUGUUCAUCAUUUUUAUCAACAUCAUGUUCACCAUCCAGGGUCAAUUAUUAGCCAUCUAAUUUUUUUCAGCCUUCUUCUGUUAAGCUGUGUAUGAAGAAUGCUGCAUACACUUGGCCUCCUCCCUUUCGAAGCUGACAGACUUGCUCUUUGGUUAGCAGUCCACAAACGUUGCUCAGGUGAUGCCCAGAUGCUGUGCACCAUUGAGAUCCUGAGCCUAACCAAUGCAACAGGGGAGAGAUGACUACAUUCCAAAUUGCAAUAAGCAUGACAAGCCAAUGAGAAAGGGUGCCAUGGGGACACGGAAGAGAGACUGCCUUACUCAGCCUGGGCUCCCAGGAAGGCUUCCAAGAAGAAGGGAUAUUUGAGUGCUGUCUGGAAAGCUGAGCCGAGAGUUGGCAGGUGCGGAAAGGAAUCGGGUGUCAGGUUGAGGCCCCUUGAGGGUGUGGCUGGUGAAGAGGAGAGCACCUGCCCCACAUUCAUUGACUGUGCAGUAUGUAUCAGGGCCCAUGCAGGGUCCUCAGGAGACAGAGAUGGAAGGGCUAAGGAAGGAAUAUGUGGACAGAACUUUGGGUGACAUCCUACCCAGCAGCACACUUCAGAACUCCAUCCUGAUAAUUAAACCUAAAUCUAAGUCAUUCUAGAAGAUCUCUUCUUUAAAAUAUCCUCUACGAUGUGCAGUAUCUAUUGAAAUUAAAAAUGUGCCUAUCCCAUGACCCAGAAAGUCCAUUUCUUGAUUUCAACUAUAGAGAAAAAACUUGUUCAAAUCACUUGCUGGUGUGAAAGGGUGUACAUUGCAGCACUAUUUGUAAAAAUGAAAAAAUUGGGGAUCAACCCAAAUAUUUAUGCAUAGAUGAAUGGCUGUCAGAACUAGGCUAUACCUAUCCCAUGGAAAUGUAUAGUAAGUUAGAAAGAGUGAGGGGUAUUUAUAUUUACACAUUAAAGCCUCCAAGACAAAUAGCUGAAGGAAAAAAACAAGUCACAUAAUAUACAUACAAUGUGGUAUCAUUCAUGUAAAAAAAUCCACACACAAAAAUACCAUGUUUUCUAUAGUUACAGACCGAUGCGAGUUUUUAUUAAUUGAUUGAUAUGCAUUUUCUAUAAGCACACAGAUAACUAAUUGAAUGCAUUGAUAGAGAACUUCUGCUGAACUGAAACCAUGGCUACGUCUGAGCGGCUGAGAGAUUGGAGCAAGUGGCUAAAAGCGUUCUAGGCCUUACCUUUUAAAAUCUUUUACAAGGAGUGUGUAGUCUGUGAAUUACUUCUGCGAUUAAAGAUUAAUUAAAACAAUGAAGAUGUUCUAACCUUCAGAGUAAAUCAGUACCACCUAUUUAGAAACACAUUGAGCAAUAUGAAACCAGACACUAAAAUGUUCCUACCCUGUGACCCAGUGAUUUUCCUUUUAGGAAUCCAUCCAAAGGAAAUAACCCCAGAGAGUCACAAAGAUUUUCAUAUAAAGAUGUUCAAUGCAGUAUUAUUUAUCAUGGUGAAGAAAAAAAGGAAUCAUCUGAAAUGUUCAAUAAUGGGUGAAAACUUAAAUGAUUCAACAAAUGUCUCCUGACCACUCGAGGCCUCUAAGGGAUCAGAGACGAAGAGGUCCCGAUAGUUCCCCUAAAGGACUGUCUCUCCCGCCCAUCUGCCUUUACCGCUCCUUCAGCCUGGAGUCUGCUCAUCUCAAAGUCUGUCUGCCUGAUGAAGACGCCCUCAUAACUCAGCUCAGGCGUGACGUUCUCUGUGAAGCUCUCUCGCAGUCCCCAUGAGCUGGUACUCACCCAGUUCCCUGUAAAGGCUGGAAUCCAUUCUGAUGAGGUGGGCAACCACUGUGCCUGGUCAGUCAGUGCCAGUCGUAAAAUAUCUUGAAAAUCCUCUUGGACCUCUCCUGCCCCCUCGCCACGCUGUGGUCCCACCGCACCCUGCGUGUAUCUCCACCUUUAUUAUCCUGUAUGUUCAUUGUUGGUUUUUCCUCGCCUGUCUCCCCUACCUGACUGUGAGCCCCUGGAAGGCAGGUGUGAGGAUCCAUCAUCUUUGUAGCUAGCCCAGGGCUAGACACUAGAAGGUAUCAUUAAUGGAGAGAGAGGGAGAAGGAGAGAGGAAGAUGGGUAGAAGAUGAAAAAUGUGGGGGAAAAGGGCGCUGGUGUAUUUUUGGCCCAUGUGCUGAUCACCAUGAGGAAGUGGCCACAGGCUAUAAAGCUGUCUUUAUAGACACCUCCCCCAGCCAUCUGCCCCAAAAACUCUGGCACAAGAAAUUUCUGCCUUUCAUAUAAAAAUUUUAGCUCAUAUGCAAAUUAUAUAUAAAUGUUGAGUAUUAUCUGGGUUUUGCAUUUGGAAAGGAAAAAAAAAACUCUCUUGCUCUUGCCUGUGUCUGUUUCAUUGUCCAGCCCUUUGAGGCGCUGGUCUGUGAGUGUCUGUGCCAGUGUGUACGGCUGAGAAUGGAUGCUUUAUGUGCAAAGGAAGCAAGGCUUUUCUUUGGCUGGUUCUCUGAACCCAGCUGCCAGUCACAGGGCUGGCUGCUGCGAUCCGAUCCGCUUCAAGGAAGUCUCACGUCUGGGUCGUUGCUCUGUAUUGAGGCUGCUGCCCUCCAGGCAGGCCUCUAGGACAUCCCUUGAAUCAAGAGUGCCCUGGGGCUGUGAGAGGCCCACACCCAAGUGCCGGGCAACCCAGAGCAAGGGCACAGAGCCCUCAUAUGCCUUCCUCCUGGGGAGGCUGCAUGCUGCAGUGGGAAGGAGUCAGGGACACAAUGCAAAUCUGGCUGUGAGUCUCCAGCUGUGUGAUUUUGGACAACCUUUUUGACCUCUCUGUGCCUCAGUUUCCCCAUCAGAAAAACUGGGAGAGCAGAAUCGCCACCUCAAGAGAAUUGCUGUGAGGGACAGGUGAGAUAAUGCACCUGGCCACAUGUGGUGAAUGAGAAAGGUUAAACGUACAUGUCGAUUUAUUAUUAACGUGACAGGAAGUUAAAAUUGAAGUGUUAGCCAAGGCACCAAGGCACAGCAGCUGCUGCCUUCCCCAGCACAGGUGAGGCUGGCCAAGGGCAGACUUUACAAAAAAAACUCAACCAGUCACACUCUUCUCAAAGUUCUUCACCGCUGGGGAAGGUAGAAAAGGGUUGUGUUGUUGACAUUCAGGGAAGAUUUUAUGAAGCCUUCUUUGGGAGAGGAGUUCCCACCCUCAGCCCGUCCAUCGGGACUGUCAGAGGGCUGGUUUUGUGUGCCAUGCAGCUGGGGAUAUGCUAGGCCUGGAUCUGGCCCAUGCUCACGGAGGCUACAGAGGCUGAUGGCAGCAGAGGAGGGGAAGUAGGGACAUGACCUUGGGAUGGCGGGUCCGAGGUAGGGGACAUGGGGGGAGGGGCUGUUACCUUCAGAACAGCAGUAGGAAUGUCAGCCUGGGGUCACUGUGAGAGGACUCUUGUCCCCUGUCCAGAAUGAAGUACCGUUAGGGAGAGGCAAGAGCAGGAAUGAAUGGAGAUCCAUUACCCACAGGAAAAGCCUGCCGGCAGGAAGGGAGCUACAGCCAUAGGUGGACUAGCAGGGACAUCUCCAGAAAACCUGGGUGCAGAACUGUCACCUUAAAACGUCUGUCACACUCAGGGCAAAGCCAGCCUUUGACAGCUCCAGACAAUUGGAAAGACAAGAUCUUUCCAAUCCCCCUUAUCUUUCCUCUCUCUCCCCACAUGAUCCUUGGAGGGACCAGAGGAGAGAUUAGCAAGCUAGUGGAGGAGCAAAUACACCAAACCCACAGGAUCCUGGCAGCAGGCCCUAGCGGGAAGAAGGGAGAAGAUGUAAGUAAUGAAUUACAGUGACCACAGGACCUUUUAUUACCUAAUAGUGAUUAGAAUACUCAUGGGUCUGCCCAUAUUCUCAUUCUAGAGCAAGGAACAGAUUGCACGCAAUGAAUAGGUUUAAAGGGAAACAGGAGACAAAGUUGCUUUUAGAAGAAUCCUGCUUGUUCAACGUAUUGGGCACAUUAUUAUUACUUAUCUAGCACUAACCAUGUGCUAAGCACUGUAUAUUCUCCAAAUAACUCACAGAGGCAGCUCCGCACCAGACCUCUGACUUCUGUGCCUUAGAUGGUCAGGCCUCUCAUCUGUAACCCAACAUGCGAUCCUAGCAGAAUCCAGUCAAAGCCCUAAUGAAGCCCCAUCCUGCAUUUUGCGUUUGAGUCAACACUCUCUAGAAGUGGACAUGAUGUUGGCCUACUCUGGACGGUGGCCGAGUCAGCUCUCGCCAACCUCCCACGUGCCCCAGUGCGCUUGCUAUUUCAGUCACAGUCACCAAGUGCUUCCGUCUGAACCUCUUGAGGCUACAAGGUACCAAAUGUUUUGAAUUAAUUGGCUUCUAUUUUCUUUCCUGUAUGUGUGCCUCGGCGCCUUUUUAGGGCAAGAUUGACUAGAGGAAUCCUUCCUGAAUUCUGGCAGCCCUGAUUCACCUCGGAGUUAAUUAUCUCUAAUAUGCUGUACAAUUCCCUCUGUACCUUUUAUCACGUGGAGUGGAGGCAUAAUUUAGCCAAAUGUAUCAUUUGAGACUUUUUUUUACCAAAAGAAAAUGAUUGUGUGUGUGCCUUAUAAAAAUAUUCAUUGUUUAUUCACGAGAUGUUUAUCGAGGCCACGCCUCUGUGCCAAGCGUGGCGCUGGGUCCCUUCUAAUUUCUCCCCAGGUUAACUUCUCACAGGGCUAUCAGGGCAGUAGUCUUAUCCCCAUUUGACAGAUGAAAACACGAAGUUCAGAGUGAAGAGAGAGGUUCAAAUCUUUCGUCCCCACCCCUACCUGCUUGGACGCCACGUGUCUACACAGAGUUGUGUCCCUCCAUCACGGCAAUUCCCAAUAGACUCCAAUAAACGGUUUCUUCCCUGUGUCCUCUCCACCCUAGCCUGGUCCCUGCUUCCCUCUGUUGCCUCACGUCCCUGGCGUGUCCCCUCACCCUCUCUGCACCUCUGUAUGUGGUCCCUUAAUGGAGGUCUCUUCAUCAGAACCCCGUGCGGUGGAUGGCUUUCCUCCAGGACGGGGAUGGAGCCACUUGUCCAAGAGCAUGCAGCUGAUAACAGAGUGGUGGCUCUGAGAUUCCACACUCUCCAUCUGUCCACUGUCUCUGUCAUCCUUCCCUCCCACCCCUGUUAUCCUGAGAAGCUUAUUUUUUUGAGGAUAAGACAAAGAGAGCUGCAUUGUAUCUUCGAAUGUCUCUGCGUUUCUGACAGGACGUUAGAAGGCAGGCCUUUGUGGAAUCCAGUGAGAACAUGUGCGUUUCACUUCCAAACCUCUAUUCAAGUUAACCCAACUGAAAUCAAUCACCUGAUUCCUUUUGAAAGAAUCUUGUCCAGCUGAAGAUUCAAAGAUGACCAUGGUGAGCUGUGUUAAGCUUCCCAGGGACGCCAUAACGUAAUACAUACAAUGGGCGCU